rnacentral:rRNA from 1 species
GCCAGACUCCUACGGGAGGCAGCAGUGGGGGAUAUUGCACAAUGGGGGAAACCCUGAUGCAGCGACGCCGCGUGGGUGAAGAAGCGCCUCGGCGCGUAAAGCCCUGUCAGCAGGGAAGAAAAUGACGGUACCUGAAGAAGAAGCCCCGGCUAACUACGUGCCAGCAGCCGCGGUAAUACGUAGGGGGCAAGCGUUAUCCGGAUUUACUGGGUGUAAAGGGAGCGCAGGCGGCACGCUAAGCCUGAUGUGAAAACCCGCGGCCCAACCGCGGGAGUGCAUUGGGAACUGGCGAGCUAGAGUACCGGAGGGGCAGGCGGAAUUCCUAGUGUAGCGGCGAAAUGCGUAGAUAUUAGGAGGAACACCGGUGGCGAAGGCGGCCUGCUGGACUGUAACUGACGUUGAGGCUCGAAAGCGUGGGGAGCAAACAGGAUUAGAUACCCGCGUA